rnacentral:tRNA from 1 species
UGUGGUGUAACUCAGCGGUAGAGCAGUUGCCAGGCAUGCAUAAGGCCCUAGCUUCAACUCCUAGUACUGCAA